rnacentral:miRNA from 1 species
ACCCUCAUCGACCAGAAAGGAUUCCUUCCGGUCGAUGAGGUGUAACAUCCUCAUCAUCCAGAAGGCCUUCCGGUUGAUGAGGUAUAACAUCCUCAUCAUCUGGAAGGCCUUCCGGAUGAUGAGGAUGUUACACCUCAUUGACCGGAAGGAAUCCUUUCUGGUCGAUGAGGGU